UAGGGAAUCUUCGGCAAUGGACGGAAGUCUGACCGAGCAACGCCGCGUGAGUGAAGAAGGUUUUCGGAUCGUAAAGCUCUGUUGUAAGAGAAGAACGAGUGUGAGAGUGGAAAGUUCACACUGUGACGGUAUCUUACCAGAAAGGGACGGCUAACUACGUGCCAGCAGCCGCGGUAAUACGUAGGUCCCGAGCGUUGUCCGGAUUUAUUGGGCGUAAAGCGAGCGCAGGCGGUUAGAUAAGUCUGAAGUUAAAGGCUGUGGCUUAACCAUAGUACGCUUUGGAAACUGUUUAACUUGGGUGCAAGAGGGGAGAGUGGAAUUCCAUGUGUAGCGGUGAAAUGCGUAGAUAUAUGGAGGAACACCGGUGGCGAAAGCGGCUCUCUGGCUUGUAACUGACGCUGAGGCUCGAAAGCGUGGGGAGCAAACAGGAUUAGAUACCCUGGUAGUCCACGCCGUAACGAUGAGUGCUAGGUGUUAGACCCUUUCCGGGGUUUAGUGCCGUAGCUAACGCAUUAAGCACUCCGCCUGGGGAGUACGACCGCAAGGUU
rnacentral:rRNA from 1 species